GCGCAACCCUUAUCCUUUGUUGCCAGCGGUCCGGCCGGGAAGUCAAAGAGGACGUGCAAUGAUAAACUGGAGGAAGGUGGGGGUAACGUCCAGUCAUCGUUGCGCUUACGAGUAAGGCUCCACACGUGCUACAAUUGCGCAUACAAAGAGGAGCGACCUCGCGAGAGCAAGCGGACCUCAUAAAGUACUUCGUAGUCCGGAUUGGGGUCUGCAACUCAACUCCAUGAAGUCGGAAUCGCUAGUAAUCGUGGAUCAGAAUGCCACGGUGAAUACGUUCCCGGGCCUUGUACACACCGCCCGUCACACCAUGGGAGUGGGUUGCAAAAGAAGUAGGUAGCUUAACCUUCGGGAGGGCGCUUACCACUUUGUGAUUCAUGACUGGGGUGAAGUCGUAACAAGGUAACCGUAGGGGAACCUGCGGUUGGAUCACCUCCUUACCUUAAAGAA
rnacentral:rRNA from 1 species